ACGGUCGGAGAAUAAUUUGUACAAGAUAAGCAUUUUUGAUGCGUUGUUUAGAAUUAUAGAUUAGUAGAUCUAGAAUUUUGAUUUGAUAUAUUUUUUUACUUUGUGGUCUCGCCAGCUAGUUCUGUCUGUUUUUAAUGUAAUUAUAAUUAUUUGAAUGAUUUCUACGUUAACUGUCCCAUCCCAUGUGUAGCCUCCAUUGCAGGUAAAAGUUGCAACUUAUUGUGGCUAUUAGAUCACUAUUUGAGAUUUUUUAUACAAUUCAUCAUACCUCUGAUCUGUACUUUUAUACUGUUUCAGUCAGCAAAAAGUUACAGAAGAUUCAGUAAUUUAACAUGCAUACAUUCCAGCCUGCAAAUUCAGCAAACGAUUAAGUUUCAUUGUCUAUCAAUUAAUCACAUAUAUAAAUAAAUAAAUAUAUAUUGUUGAGGUUUUAAGUUAGGAUAAGGAAAUAAUCUAUGUCAAAUUGUCAUUUGUAACAAGUAUUGCUCCC
rnacentral:lncRNA from 1 species